rnacentral:rRNA from 1 species
UACGUAGGGUGCGAGCGUUAAUCGGAAUUACUGGGCGUAAAGCGUGCGCAGGCGGUUGUGCAAGACAGGUGUGAAAUCCCCGGGCUUAACCUGGGAACUGCACUUGUGACUGCACGGCUGGAGUGCGGCAGAGGGGGAUGGAAUUCCGCGUGUAGCAGUGAAAUGCGUAGAUAUGCGGAGGAACACCGAUGGCGAAGGCAAUCCCCUGGGCCUGCACUGACGCUCAGGCACGAAAGCGUGGGGAGCAAACAGG